GUCAGGAUGGCAUAGUGGUUAGCGCAUCUGCCUAGUGAGCAGGAGACCCGGGUUCGAAUCCCGAUCUUGGUG
rnacentral:tRNA from 1 species